rnacentral:lncRNA from 10 species
GAACACAAAAUGGCGACACGUGAGGAAGACAAACAUAAAGAUGAAGUGCUUAAUUCAAGGUCACACAAUGUCGGGGAUGGACCUCCAGAUUUCCUUACUGGAAAACAAGCUCAGGGCUCCCACUGAUUGUACAUUAUGAGACGGAGUCUUGCUAUGUUGCCCAGGCUGGUCUUGAACUCCUCACCUCAAGCGAUCCUCCCGUCUUGGCCUCCCAAGUGUCAGGAUUACGGGCAUGUGCUAUCACACCCAACCUGAUACAUUGCCUUUAUAAAUUUUUUUUUCUUUAUUCUAAAAACCAGAAAAAACAAAACUGGAUACAUGUGCAGAACAUGCAGACCAAGUGUGUUGGGGACUUGAGAUGCGUACAUGAGUGUGAUGUUUCCUGCUGAAAGCACAGGUGAGACGUGGUCUUGUAACACAGUGGUUAAGAAUGUGACUUUGGAGCCAGCCUGCUAGGGGCUGAAUUCUGACUCAGCCAUUUACUAACUGUGUGACCUUAGGGAGGAGGACCUGGUUGAUAGAAGAAUUUAUCUCGUAGUCUUAACAUCCACUGUAAUUCCAAACUUUGAGGACGAUAGAGAUCAGUGGGCUUUGACUGCCCAGCAUGCAGUCUCCAUUCUUAGGUGGGUUCCCAAGCCUGUAAAAUGUAAGCCUUAUGCUGCUGAGGGCCAUCUUGCCACCCUGAGGGAAACGCUGCCUGAGAAUGAAACAAGCAUAAGUAAAAGCUGAGCUGUGAGAUGGAGCAAGAUGAAGGCCACAUGACAUCUUUGGAGCACCUGGAUCUAACUGUGCCUUAAGCUAGUCUAACCCUGAACAUUUCAUCAUUUCAUUGACAUGAGCCCAGGUUUUCUUUUUUUUUGGAUGGAGUCUUGCUCUGUCGCCCAGGCUGGAGUGCAGUAGCUCAAUCUCGGCUCACUGCAAGCUCCACCUCCCGGGUUCACGCCAUUCUCCUGCCUUAGCCUCCCAAGUAGCUGGGACAACAGGCGCCCACCACCACUCCCAGCUAAUUUUUUGUAUUUUUAGUAGAGACGGGGUUUUACCAUGUUAGCCGGGAUGGUCUUGAUCUCCUGACCUCAUGAUCCGCCCGCCUCGGCCUCCCAAAGUGCUGGGAUUACAGGUGUGAGCCACUGCACCCAGCCCUCAGGUUUUCCCUUUUUUUACCCCUCCUUUUGAAAAUUUGAUGUGGAAUUUUGCCACCUGCAGCCAGAAGAGUUUUAACUAAUCAGUGCCAUAAAUUUUAUAUAGUUCUCCUUGCAAAAUGUGGAUCAGCCUUUCUCAGCAAAUCCUUUGUCAUAAAGUGCUGAAUUGUAAGUUUGUCAUGAGAAUCACAUGAGAUCAUGCAUGUGAAGAACCUGGCAUUAUCCUCCUCAUAGAAAAAAACCAGUAAAUAUUAACUACAGGAAGCAAGGAAGGAGUGGGGUGAGGGGAAGAAGAAGGGGUACUGAUUUAAAAGAACCCUGGAGUCCUAAGGAUAAUCUAGGAACCCUCAGACCCAAUCCGAUACCCCUAUUCUAAAUGCUCCUAGUGCCCUGUACCUUCCCCUCAUAAGCCUUCAUUAUCAUUGUAAUGAUAUGUUUAUGUAAUAUUUUGAUUAAUGUCUCUCCUUCACUGACCUAGCAGUUCUAGCAGGGCAGUGAUUUUGCUGUGUUGCAUCCCCAGCACCUAGUCUGGUAUGUGGCAUUCAGCAUAUGUUUAUUGAAUGAAUGGCCAUGUGGUUAUUCAGAUCCUCCUUGAUUAUUGGGGUUAGGAUUGUGGCAGAAGUGGCAAAAUCAGGGAGAGUAGUCCCUGUCCCCUCUGUAUCUUAUACACUGCCCACACUCCCAACACACAUACACAUACAGAGAAUUUUGUCUCAAUUAGAUAAUUAACUUCUGCUUGGUUGUAAACCAAACCACUGGUUCUUAAACUUUCAUUGGAUCAUUUUAUUGAAGAAUUAAAUAGUGUGGUUCUGGCCUAAUGUCUGGAAAGCCUUGCAGAGGAGUGGAUUAGGUCUUUGUGAUAAACAGGCAGCCUUCCCUGCUCCUGUGUCUUUAUAAAAUCUAUUUAACUGGAGUAGUCCACCCUCCCUCAGGCUCUUACAGGAAUAUGUUGGAGGCUGUAGGAAGGUGGGAAACCGAGAGGGAAAGGACUGGGCCGCUGGAGACUUCACUCAUUCCCUAGCAAGAAACAAAAGCAGUAAAAGGUGGCCCGAGGACAACCUGAAGCUCACUCCUUCAGCACUUUUGGCUGGAGGUCACUUGUUGGAGCCCCACUCAGAGCUCAGCACACCACCCCACCAGCAGCCUCCUCCUCCCAGCUGAGGCUGCAUUUCAUCCCUUCCCCCAGCCUGCUUUCCCUGAGAUAGGGGAGUGUUUCCCAGGGCCCAUGUGACUUCCACUGGCAAGUGACGAUUACCAAUGGUUUACUAGUCAGUGAAACUACCAAAGGCUUUUGUGCUGUAGUAAUCCUUUUCCUGUUUAAAACUCUGGGGAUUUUCUAAUGUUGCCAAUAGUUUUUCAAGUCAGCAAUUACUGUGUGGAUUAUGUAAUGGCUCGGUAUUAAAAAUAGAAAAGACUGGAGUUUGCAUCUAUUUUAACCAAAUCUUGAAAACAGAGCAAAGGGAGGGGAAGGGUGGAGAGGGAGAGACCAGAGGAGGAGGGAGAAAAAGAGAUCAUGUGACUGGAUAAGACAGCUCACAAUUCACUGUGCCUUUCUCCCACCAUUUGUGGCCCAAGGACCUGUACUCCCUCCUCAGCCUCCUCUAGGGAGGGGUCCUUGAUGAGAAUUCUGAGGACACAAGACCCCUUGUGGAUAUUUCUUAGCUCAGCCUUGGUGUGCUUACCUGCUUCUGACAAGCAAAGUGGCCAAGUAGGGGAGGGAGUUGAAUCUGAUGUCCUCCACUAAGUCCAGGACUCCUAUUUUGUUUUGUUUUGUUUUUGAGACGGAGUCUUGCUCUGUCACCAGGGUGGAGUGCAGUGGCACAAUCUCGGCUCACUGCAACUUCUGCUGCCUGGGUUCAAGUGAUUCCCCUGCCUUAGCCUCCUGAGUAGCUGGGACUGCAGGUGCGCACCACCACGCCUGGCUCAUUUUUUGUAUUUUAGCAGAGAUGGGGUUUCACCAUGUUGGCCAGAAUGGUCUCAAUCUCCUGAGCUUGUGAUCCACCCACCUCAGCCUCCCCAAGUGCUAGGAUUACAGGUGUGAGCUACCGUGCCUGGCCGAACUCCUGUUUUUGUUUUUGUUUUUAUUGCCAAUGUCUUUGCACUCAGCUUGUUUCUCUUGCUGGAAUGGUAGUCAGGGCGUCACUUAUAUGUCUUUAGCAUCCCAAAUUUCUGUCAGUCCCUUGGCCAAAGUUAUUCCAAAUAAAUAUUCAAUGUAAUUACCUGCCACUUCCCUGCCCCAAUCCUCUUUCUGCUGGAUUGCCACUCCUAAGCCCCAGAUACAGAAAUUGCAGGCUUACAAUGGGUUUGCUCUCGAAUGACAUCACACCAGUCCCCUACCCCCUACUCUGAGUUGAGGGAUAUUUGUAUUUUAACAGAGAGCCAUUGAGUAACUUUAGGGCCUCUCUGGUGGUGGAAGUUUAGGUGCCAGGGUUGAUAUUUUGGGAAGGAGAAUUUAUUUUAUUUAUUUAUUUUUUUGGAGACGGAGUCUCUCUGUCGCCCAGGCUGGAGUGCAGUGGCACGGCCUCAGCUCACUGCACCCUCCGCCUCCUGGGUUCAAAUGAUUCUCCUGCCUCAGCCUCCCGAGUAGCUGGGACUACAGGCUCGUGCCACCACGCCUGGCUAUUUUUUGUUGCGUCAUCCCAUGGUGGAAUGUAGAAGGGCAAGAAAGUAUACAUGCGCAAGGGAGGAGGGGGCCAGACUUAUCCUUUUAUCAGGAACCCAGUCUUGUGACUAUGACAUGAAUCUAUUUGUGAGAGCACAGCCCUCAUGACCUAAUCACCUCUUAAAGAUCCUACCUCUCAACACUGAUGCAUUGGGGAUUAAGUUUCCAACACAUGAACUUUGGUGGAUGCAUUCAAACCACAGCACCAGGGUUCCUACUAUGUCACCUCCAGAGGCACCCAGAGAGGAAGGUUUUGAGUUAAUCACAUCAUAAUUUAUAGCCCUUGAGCCAUCAGAGAGCCCAUGCAGAGAGCACCCUAUUUCCUAGGUCUCAGGUGGCAUGGAGGGGUGAGUACGUUGAAGAAGGUGCUUGCUAAUUUCCAAAGACUCAGCGCAAAUAAGUUCAGUGGGGUUCAUGGGAGAGAGACCUGAAAUGAAUCAAUUGUGGGUAAUACUAGAAAGUUGUCUUCUCGUCAUUACUUCCAUCUAUUUCCACACCUACCCCAUCACACUCCGUUCUCAGUAUCUUCAUCUGUAUUGGGGUGGAAAAGAGUGCCAACAGCUCAGAAUAAUGCUGGUUCUAGCUGCACCCAGCCUCACCCAAUGUGGCCCAACCUAGUGGAACUGCAGUGAAAGGAAGCGAGAGUUCUAAUUAUGGGUUUUAGGUAUCAUUUCACUAGAUAUGUUGGAGGAUCUGAGGACCUUUCUUAGGGACCUUUAAUUACAGUACCCUGGACUGGGAAGUGCCCAUGAUGUGGCACCUCUUUCUUACCCUGUAGGGUUUUCUUGACUACAUAAUUGAACAUACUUAUGGGGGUACAUGUGAUAUUCUGAUACAUACAAUGUAUAAUGACCAAAUCAGGUUAAUUAGCAUAUCCAUCACCUCAAACCCUUGUCAUUCCUUUGUGUUGGUAACAUUCUAAAUCUUCUAGUUAUUUUGAAACAUGACAGAUUAUUAACUGUAGUCACCCUUGUGUGCUAUUGAAUACUAGAACUUAUUCCUUUUAUCUAACUAUAUGUUUGUAACCAUUAACCAACCUCUCAUCAGUCUCUCUCCUACCCUUCCUGGCCUGUAGUAACCACCAUUUUACUCUCUACUUCCAUGAGAUCACCUUUUUUGUGCUUGAUUUAUUUCAGUUAACAUAAUGGCCUUGGUUUUAUCCAUGUUACUGCAAAUGACAGAAUUUCAUUCUUUUUUAGGCUGUAUUUGUAUAUAUACCACAUUUUAAUCCAUUCUUCUGUUGAUAGACUCUUAGGUUGAUUCCACAUCUUGGCUAUUGUGACUGCUGCUGCAGUAAACAUGGGAGUGCAGAUAUCUCUUUAAUAUACUGAUUUCCUUUCUUUUGUAUGUAUUAUGCCUAGCAGUAGGAUUGCUGGAUCAUAUGGUAGAUAUAUUUUUAGUUUCUUGAGGAACUUUCAUACUACUUUCCACAGUGGCUAUACUAACUUACAUCCUGCUCCACCCCCCGCUUUUUUUUUUUUUUUUUUUUUUUUUGAGAGACAGGGUCUUGCUCUGUCGCCCAGGCUGAGUGCAGUGGCCAGGAUCUUGGCUUACUGCAGCCUGGACCUCCCAGGCUCAAGUGGUCCUCCCACAUCAGCCUCCUGCGUAGCUGGGACUACAGGUGCACAUCAUCACGCCCAGCUAAUUUUUUAAUGUUUAAAUUUUUUGUAGAGGCGGGAUCUCACUAUGUUGCCCAGCUGUUGUGAAAAUCCUGGAUGCAAGUAGUCCUCCUGCCUCAGCCUCCCAAAGUGCUGGGAUUACAGGCGUGAGUGUCCACACCCAGCCUGCUAUAGCUUUGUAGUAUGUUUUGAAGUCAGGUAGUGCGAUGCCUCUAGUUUUGUUCUUUCUGCUCAGGAUUGCUUUGGCUAUUUGGGGUCUUUUGUGGUUCCCUAGGAAUGUUAGGGUUGUUUUUUCUAUUUCUGUGAAGAAUGUCGUUGGUAUUUUGGUAGAGAUUGCAUUGAAUCUGUAGAUUGCUUUGGGUAAUAUGGGUAUUUUAACAGUAUAAAUUUUUCCAAUCUAUGAGCAUGAGAUAUCUUUUCAUUUUUUGUAUCCUCUUAAAUUUCUUUCAUCAUUGUUUUAUAGUUUUUAUUGUAGAGAUCUUUUACUUUGGUUAAAUUUGUACCUAAGUAUUUUAUUUUAUUUUUUUUUGCUAUUGUUAGUGGAAUUCCUUUCUUGAUUUUGUUUUGUGAUUCUUUGCUGUUGUAUAGAAAUGCUACUGAUUUUCGUAUGUUGGUUUUGUAUCCUGCAACUUUACUGAAUUUCUUUGUUGACUUCUAACAGUUUUUUGGUGGAGUCUUUAGGUUUUUAGGUUGUUGUAAACAAGAAUAAUUUGACUUCUUCCUUUCCAAUCUGGAUGCCCUUUAUUUCUUUUUUUUUUUUCUGAUUGCUCUGGCUAGGACUUCCAGGUCUAUGUUAAAUAAAGGUAGUGAAAGUGAGCAUCCUUUUCUCAUUCCAUAUGUAUAUAUAUUAUUAUUUUGAGAUGGAGUUUCACUCUUGUUUUCCAGGCUGGAGUGCCCAAGUGAUUCUCCUGCCUCAGCCUCCCAAGUAGCUGGGAUUACAGGCGUGCGCCAUCAUGACUGACUAAUUUUUGUAUUUUUAGUAGAGACAAGGUUUCACCAUGUUAGGCUGGUCUUGAACUCCUGACCUCACGUAAUCCACCCACCUUGGCCUCCCAAAGUGCUGGGAUUAUAGGCAUGAGCCACCGUGCCUGGCUGUUGUUCCAUAUCUUAGAGGAUGACUGGGAAGUGCCCAUGAUGUGGCAUCUCUUUCUCAUCCUUACAGGUUUUUAGUUCUCUGAUGCUAGAUUCCAAUCCAUAUUCUUACCAGAGGCUGACUUUGGUAAGGAGCACAAACUUCUGGUAUGGUCCAUAUUUUAAUUCUUUCAACCCAUUGUGUCCAUUAAUGCAUUUGGACAUGCCUGGUCAAGUGUCCUGGCCUUUGGUAUGGUCACAGCCAUUGCAGCAUCAGUAUCUGUGUAUCUGGAUAGUCAGGCUACUCCAGACCAUUUGUGUCAGCAGAAGCUGGAGUUCACAGAGAGUAUCUGCUCUCCAAAUCUCACCCCACCUUCCAGGCUUUGAGCAAGGUAGAUGGUUUACCAAAGCACCUGCCUGAGGGGCUGCUAAGGGCUAGCAUCAGUCCAGGAGUAAAUCAUUGGCACGAUCCACAAAAGAAUCCUUUCUACAUAAACCCAACUCUCUGUUGUGGCCUCCUUUCCUCCCACCCCAUGGAUAGAACCAUAAGGAGACAUCAGAACUUGACCACAGCAAUGUUGGGUACACUGGUCAUCUCCAUCCUUUUCUUUCCCUUCUCUUCCUCCUCCUCCUCCUCCUCUUUUCUCUUUUUCUCUCUCUUUUUUUCCUUUGGAGAUGGAGUCUUGCUGUGUUGCCCAGGCUGGCCUUGAGCUCCUGAGAUCAAGUGGUUCUCCUGCCUCAGCCUCCUGAGUAGCUGGAACUACAAGCAUGAGCCUCCAUCUCCUGCUCCAUACUUUUCCUGAAGGAGAUCACUCUUUCUAUCAUUAAAAUAUUUAAUGCAUUUCUAAUCCCCAACACACACACAUUCACAUGCAUGCGUGUAUGCGUGUCAUAAUGAUGGUGCUUCUAGUGUCUGUCUAGUGUCUGUUGAGAUAAUACAAGUGGUUAUAAGCUGGUAUGAAAAUAAUAACAAAUUUAAAUAUAUUUAAUUUUUAUACAUCCAAUCACAUUGACAAAUUUGAGACACAAUAGUGUUUAUAUAUGUGGAACAUUUAUUUGAGCUACAGACAGUGCAAGGUUCAAAAGGUGGAUCUUUUGCAUUAACUCUAGUACCAGGGCUCAGAGCUAUGACAUCUGUCACCCUUUACUGCAUACCCUUCCCUUCCUAGACCUCUUCUGUGUCCAUGAGAUCAGACUUAGGAAUGAGUUUGGGGAAUGGGGCAAGACAGGCUGAGGGUUAGGCCUUAGAACUCCACCUAUUUGCUGCAACUCCUCUGUCUGGAAGUUUCAGGAGGUUGGGGUAGGGAGGGGGCGAAAUGUGGGGAGAAGUGGUGUGGCACCCAAUGACACCAGUCACACCUGGAGCUACAACUGUCUUCCAACAGAAAAUAGGGGAGGCAGGGAAAGGAAAGAGGAUUGAGAAAGAGGGAGAAGAAGUGAGGAGAGGAGGGAAGGAGGAAGAGGGUUAGUGAGAAGGGGAUUGUGGUCAGGGCAACCUUGGGGCUGAGCCAGAUUGACAGGGGUGCUGCCCCUUGGGGAGGCAAGUAGGAGAUUUCUUGGCAUCCUGGCUCAGCCCUGGAGUAAUCUGACUCCACAAGGCAGUACCGGCCCCUCUCUGUUCUCUCAGCAUCUCCUUUCCUUCCAAACCAGAGUGACAGGCCCAGGCUGGCAAGAGCCAUCUCUUUUGUCACAGAAGACUGCAACUAAUGAACGACUUACUAGUUCUGACUGCCUUGACGGGUUUGCACUUUAUGAGGAGAUCCUAGUAUAUCACUUCUGCUGCCACUAUUAAGUAUUACCCAAACUAUUCUCCUUCUCAUCCAGUCAAUUUUGGUAAUUUUUAUUUUUUUCUCAAAAAAAGUUUUUAAAUUAUUGGAAUAAAUUUUUCAUAGUCUUACUAUAUUUUAAAGCUUGAGUUUAUCUUCCAUUUUUCAUGCUAAUAUUAUUUAAUACUUUAGCCUUUUUUUUUUUUUUUAAUAGUGACGGGAUUUUGCUUUGUUGGCCAGGUUGGUCUUGAACUCUUAGCCUCAAGCAGUCCUCCUGUCCUCGCCUCCUAAAGUGCUAGGAUUACAGGUGUGAGCUACUGUGCCUGGCCUCAGCCUUUUUUUAUGAUCUGUUUUACUAGUGGUCUGUCUUUUCUUUGAGGACCUUUUUUGUCAUCUCUAUUGUUUGUCUUCUAUUUCAUUAACUUUUUCUUUCUAAUAUUUAAAAACUAAUUUUGCAAUUGAAAAGUAAUACAGUGGGUCACUUUCACUUACAAACAAUUAUAAAAAGACCAACAAUCCAAAAUAAUAGAAAAAAGGACUUUUAAAAAAGAAAUCUACAUGGUUUAUAAAUGCAAGAAAAUACUUUAUUAGCAAGUACAACCAUGCAUCUUUUUUUUUUUUUUUGAGACAGAGUCUUGCUCCGUUGCCCAGGCUGGAGUACAGUGCUGCAUUCUUGGCUCACUGCAACCUCUGCCUCCCGGGGUUCAAGUGAUUCUUGUGCCUCAGCCUCCCAAGUAGCUGGGAUUACAGGUGUGUGCCACCAUGCCUGGCCAACAAUGCAUCUUUUAAUGGUGGACCUCUAGGCCUGAGUGGAGAAGAGAGGCAGCUUCAGAGAGGCAUCUACUGCAGAGAGAGAGUGCCCAAUGGAGGGAACCCUGGGCUACAGCCGGGAGGUCACCCUGCUCUCAGCCCUGUCUUUUAUUUACUAGUAAUCAGCAAGGCAUAGACCUCUCUUCCCUCCCCUGCAAAUCAUGACUAAUAAAAAAUGUCCCCACCUGCUUUGCCUGAUUGGCUGUUGUAUCACAUCAGAUUCAGAAGGUGAAGAAGACAAGACACCUGAACUCCUGCUCAGGCCCUCGCCCCCAUCUUUCUUCUCCCACAUGUGGCAGUGGGGAGGGGUUGUCGGUGAAACCAGCCUGUUCUGGCGGGACUACUUAUCAGGCCCUGCCCUUAAAGGAAAAUUAUUUUGAAAAGAAAGAGUGGAUCUUAUUCUCUUUCUAGCUCAUUGUGCUUUCUGGCUUAUCUCUUCUUUAGUUUUGAUUUUGAUUUUGUUUUUAGGAUUUUAUGAUUCUGUAUUCUGUGGAGAAGCAUGGGAGGGGAAGGUGUGUUGGAAACUGGGCCUAAAAACCAGGAGGCAGAAAUGGAUGUCCUGUAUCAGCAGUUUUGGUCUCAGGACCCUUUUAUACCCUUUUUCCUUCUUCAUUUUUUUUUUAGCUUUAUUGAGUUAUAAUUUAUACACAAAAAAUAGUAUGCAUUUAGUUUAUGUGUCUUGAUGAGUAUACAUCUUGGCAAGUUUGAACAUGUGCAUACACCCAUGAGACCAUCUCCACAACCAAAAUGCUAAACUUAUCCAUUACCUCCAAAAAUUUGCUUGUGUUAUUUUUUUUUUAAACAGGGUCUCACUCUGUCAUCCAGGCUGGAGUGCAGUGGUGCGAUCUCAGCUCACUGCAGCCUUGACCUCCUAGGCUCAAAUGAUGCUCCCACUUCAGCUUCCUAAGUAGCUGGGACUACAGGCAUGUGCCACCAUGCCCCCACUAACUUUUUUUUUGUUUUUUGUAGAGUUGAGGUCUCACUAUGUUGCCCAGGCUGGUCUCAAUAUCCCAGACUCAAGUGAUCCUCCUGCCUUGGCCUCCCAAAGUGCUGGGAUUACAGGCAUGAGCCACUGUGCCUGGCCUGCUUGUGUUUGUGUGUGUGUGUGUGUGUGUGUGUGUGUGUAAGUGUGUGUGUGUGUUUUGGUAAGAACACUUAAGACAACAUGUAUUAGGCCUGGCAUGGUGGCUCAUGCCUGUAAUCCCAGCACUUUGGGAGGCCAAGGCAGGCAGAUCAUGAGGUCAGGAGAUUGAGACCACCCUGGCUAACACGGUGAAACCCCGUCUCUACUAAAAAUACAAAAAAAUUAGCCGGGCAUGGUGGUGGGCACCUGUAGUCCCAGCUACUCAGGAGGCUGAGGCGGGAGAACGGCAUGAACCUGGGAGGUGGAGCUUGCAGUGAGCCGAGAUCGCACCACUGCACUCCAGCUUGGGUGACAGAGCCAGACUCCAUCUCAAACAAAACAAAACAAAACAAAAUGUAUUGGCUGGGUGCGGUGGCUCACACCUGUAAUCCCAGCACUUUGAGAGGCUGAGGUGGGCGGAUCACGAGGUCAAGAGAUCGAGACCAUCUUGGCUAACAUGGUGAAACCCCAUCUCUACUAAAAAUACAAAAAAAAUUAGCUGGGUAUGGUGGCACACUCCUGUAGUCCCAGCUACUCAGGAGGCUGAGGCAGGAGAAUCGCAUGAACCCGGGAGGCGGAGGUUGCAGUGAGCCGAGAUCGUGCCACCUCACUCCAGCCUGGUGACAGAGAGAGACUCUGUCUCAAAAAAAAAAAAGUAUUCUCUUAACGUAUUUUAAAGUGCACAAUACCGUAUUGUUAACUAUAGGUACUAUAUUGGACAGCAGAUAUCUAGAAUUUAUUCAUCUUGGCCGGGCGUGGUGGCUCACACCUGUAAUCCCAGCACUCUGGGAGGCCGAGGUGGGCAGAUCAUGAGGUCAGGAGAUGGAGACCAUCCUGGCUAACACAGUGAAGCCCCGUCUCUACCAAAAAUACAAAAAAUUAGCCGGGCGUGGCAGUGUGCACCUGUAGUCCUAGCUGCUGGGAAGGCUGAGGCAGGAGAAUGUCGUGAACCCGGAAGGUGGAGCUUGCAGUGAGCUGAGAUCACGCCACUGCACUCCAGCCUGGGUGACAGAGCGAGACUCUGUCUCAAAAAAAAAAAAAAAAGAAUUUAUUCAUCUUGCGUACAGAACAAUGGAUGAGGAAAAUGGUAUGUACACACCAUGGAAUACUAUACAACUUUAAAAAAGAAGGAAAUCCUGCUAUCUGUGACAACAUGGAUAAACCUAAAGAAUACUGUGCCAAGUGAAACAAGCCAGUUACAGAAGGAAAAACACCAUGUGAUUCUACCUAUGUGAUGCAUAUUCCACAUACAUAAGAAUGGAAUGGUGGCCACCAGGGACUGGGGGAGGGAGCAAUGGUGAGCAUUCUUCAGUGGACAUACAGCUUCCAUUAUAUAAUUUAAAAAUUUAAAAAGCUGUGGUAAAAUACACAUAAAAUUUUUAAGUAUACUGUUCAGUAGUAUUGAGUACAUUUAUAUUGUGCAACCAUCACCGCUCUUUAUCUCUAGAAUUCUUUUCAUCUUGAAAAUUGAAACUACCCAUAUGAAAUGAAAACUCCCUAUUCUCCCCUCCCUCAGCCCCUGAUCACCACUAGUACCCUCUGUUCUCCAUGCAUCUGAUUAGGCACCCCAAGUAAGUGGAAUCAUAUAGCACAUCUCCCUGUGUGGCUUACAUCACUCUGCACAAUGUCUUUUUUGUUUUUUUUGCCCAGGCUGGAGUGCAAUGGCAUGAUCUCAGCUCACUGCAACCUCCAUCUCCCAGGUUCAAAUGAUUCUCCUGCCUCAGCCUCCCAAGUAGCUGGGAUUACAGAUGCGUGCCACCACACCGGCUAAUUUUUUGUAUUUUUGUAGAAACGGGAUUUCACCAUGUUAGCCAGGCUAGUCUCAAACUCCUGACCUCGGAUGAUCUGCCCACCUCUGCCUCUCGAAGUGGUGGGAUCACAGGCAUGAGCCACCGUGCCCGGCCCACAACAUCUUAAAUGUUUAUAUUGUAGCAUGUUUCAGAACUUCCUCUUCAUGGCUGAACAACAUUUCAUUGUAUGUAUACACCACAUUUUGUCCAUCCAUUCAUCACUGAUAGACAUUUGGGUUGCUUGUACCUUGCUUGCUAUUGUGAUAAUACCGCAACAAACAUGAGUGAAUAAAUAACCUCUUCAGGACUCUACUUUCAAUUCAAUUGUAUAUAUAACCAGAGUGGAAUUGCUAGAUCAUAUGGUAAUUAUAUUUUUAAUUAUUUGAGGAACUGCCAUGUUGUUUUCUCCAGCAGCUACACCAUUUUGCAUUCCCAGUAACUCUACAUGAGGGGUUCAAUUUCCCCAUAUCGUUGCGACACUUGUUAUUUUUGAUUUUUAAAAAAUGUGUGUUUUGACAAGUAAAAAUUGUAUGGAUUUAUGGUAUACAACAUGAUGUUUUGAUAUAUAUUGAUAUAUAUAUAUAUACACACACAUUGUGGAAUGGCUAAAUUAACCUAUUGAACAUAUGCAUUGCCUCAUAUACUUCCCAUUUUUUUGUGAUAAGACCACUUAAUUUAUUCUCAGCAAUUUUCAAAUAUACAAUAUAUUGUUACUAACUGUAGUCAGCAUGAUGUACAGUGGAUCUCUUGAACUUGUUCCUCCUGUCUAACAAAUUUUGUGUCCUUUGACCAACAUCCUUCCAAUCUCCCCACCCGCCACCCUCUGGUAACCACCAUUUUACUCUCUAUUUCUAUGAGUUCAACUAUUUUAUACUCCAUAUAUAAGUGAGGUCAUGUGGUACUUGUCUUUCUGUACCUGGCUUAUUUCACUUGACAUAGUAUCCUCCAGGUUCACUCAUGUUGUCACAAACGACAGGAUUUCCUUCCUUUUAAAGGAUGAAUGGUACUCCAUUGUGUAUAUGUACCACAUUUUCUUUAUCCAUUCAUCUGCUGAUGGACACUUACAUUGAUUUUAUAUCUUGGCUAUUGUGAAUAAUGCUGUAAUGAAUAUGGGAGUGUGAAUAUCUCUUCAACAUACUGAUUUCAUUUCCCUUAGAUAUAUGCCCAGUAGUGGUAUUGCUGGAUCAUAUGGUAGUUCUACUUUUAAAUUUUUGAGGAACCACCAUAGUGUUUUCCUUAAUGGCUGUACUAAUUCACAUUUGCGUCAGUAAUGUGCAAAGGUUUCCUUUUCUCAACAUCCUUGCCAAUGCUUGUCAUCUUUCCUCUUUUUUGCAAUAGCCAUUCUAACAAGAGUGAGGUGAUAUGUCAUUGUUUUGAAUUGCAUUUCUCUGGUGAUUAGUGCAGUUCAGCACCUUUUCAGAUUCCUGUUGGCCAUUUGUAUGUCGUAUUUUGGGAAAUGUCUGUUCAAGUCCUUUGAUCAUUUUAAAACUCUGGUUAUUUGUUUUCUUCCUACUGAGUUGUUUGAGUUUCUUAUCUACACUUUAGAUCAUAACAACCCCUUCUCAGAUACAUGGUUUGCAAAUGUAUUCUCUCACUCUGUAAGUUCUCUCUUCACUGUAUUGUUUCCUUUACUGUGUGGAAGGGUUUCAGUUUGAUGUAAUCCUAUUUUGCUUUUGUUGCCUGAGCUUUUGGAGUCAUAUCCAAAAUUUUUGCCCAGACCAAUGUCAUGAAGCUUUUUCCCUAUGCUUUCUUCUAGUAGUGUUACAGUUUCAGGUCUUAUGUUUGUCUUUAAUCCACUUUUAUUUGAUUUUUGUAUAUGGUGUGAAAUGAACAUCUAAUUUCAUUCUUCUGUAUUUGAAUAUCCAGUUUUUCCAGCACCAUUUAUUGAGUAGGCUGUCCUUUCCCCAGUGUGUGUUCUUGGGACCUUUGUUGAAAAUCAGUUGACUGUAAAUACAUAGAUUUAUUUCUGGGUUCUUUAUUUUGUUCCUUUAGUCUAUGUGUCUGUUUUUUGGUGGUACCAUGCUGUUUUGGUUACUACAGCUUUGUAGUAUAUUUUGGAGACAGACAGUAUGAUACCUCUAGCCUUGUUCUUUUUGCUGCAGAUUGCUUUGGCUAUUUGGGGUCUUUUGUGGUUCCAUAGGAAUUUCAGAGUUGUUUUUUCAAUUUUUGUGAAGAAUUUUAUUAGUAUUUUGAUAGAGAUUGCUUUGAAUCUGUAGGUCAUUUUGGGUAGUAUGAGCAUUUUAAUAUUAAUUCUUCCAAACCGUGGACACAGCAUAUCUUUCCAUGUUUUGUGUGUGUCCUCUUCAGUUUCUUUCGUCAGUGUUUCAACAGUGUUUUCCAUGUACAGAUCUUUCAUUUCCUUGAUUAAAUUUAUUCCUAAG